AUCCAGCUGACGAGUUCCAAAUAGGAUGAAACUCGUGUCCUCGAU
rnacentral:hammerhead_ribozyme from 1 species